rnacentral:ribozyme from 12 species
UCUUUUUCUUCUUCUCCUUUUUUUUCUUUUUCUCCUCUUUUUUCUUCUUCUUUUU